ACAGUCUAGUUUCUCUUCAGAUCGUAUAAAUUUUUCACCUUUUACUAAAGAUUUCUGUGGAGAGGAACAGGCAUGAGUGUCAAGGAAUUAUUCUGAGGCUCCGCCUUGGUGGGGCU